rnacentral:rRNA from 1 species
CUAUUAGUGUCGUCUAAAUUUGGUGCCAGAAGACUCGGUAAGACCUUAGACACAAACGUUAAUCAUCAUAAUCAGGCGUAAAGGGUGUGUAGGCGGCUUUAAAAUAUAAUUAUAUAAUUAUAAUAUAAAAUUAUUAAAGCUAGAAUCUAAAAGAGGAUAAGCUAAACAACAUAAUUAAUUGGGACUGACAACUUAUAAUAAUGUGGAGUACUAAAGGUUAAAGCUAUUUAUCUACUUAAGAUUGACGCUCAGAAACGAAGGGGAGAAUAAGAAACUUAGAUUAGAGACCUAAUUAUCUCUCUCAGUCAACGAUGAAUGGUAGUUAUUAAUAAUUAUUUAAUAAAUAUUAGUAACGAGGUUAACACGAUGACCAUUCCGCCUUGUUAGUAAGACUGCAAAGUUGAAAACAAAAAAAUUAGUCGGUCUUGAAGCAAACGAAGUGAAGCAUGUUAUUUAAUUC